UUUACACUGUACAGCCAGUAGAGAGCGGUGUCACUUAAUAUGAAAUGAAUGCUGAAGGAUGGACGGACCCUGCUCUUUCACAGCAUUCAAACCAGCACGUUUCUAUCAUGUGUGUCUGCCUCAUACCACAGUCCUUAUAUUUAUCUUGUUUAGCUCCUUAUUCUAUUAUAUUCAGACUUUCUUACAGAGGACUCUACUAUUUUAUUCAAAUCUCUAUAUAUUGAGUGCCGUAACCCUUCAUUUUGAUUUUUCUUGUUAUGCUGUUUUAUUUUACUGAGCUGUUCUGCUAUGUUUAAGCGUUGUUUGCUAUAGGUCAUGUUUAAUGUCGUGGCUCCUGUAAUGCAGGACUUUCCCAGGUUUGUGAUGAAAACCACCGAUCCCAAGAUUUUACAGUGAUGCUGUGUAAUAGUUCCAGUAGUUCAGUUUCUUGGGAUUGUUAGCCUGCUGGCCUGUCGGUUCCACUCGCAGUUCAGAUUAUUUAAAUCAAUGUGCCUGAGGAGGAAAUUAGUGGACAUGGAGAUUACUUUUAUUUUUAUUGGACAAAAAGAACUGCUAGGACAGAAACGUCUACAUUAUGCUGCUAACAAAACAGUCUCUUUGCGAGCAGCUGCACAGACAGCAUGCUAACACUAAUGUUAGUCAAGAAGAAUGCUGCCACAGACAGAUCCAAAGAGACUAGAGACUUUCUGAAAGGAUAAUGAAUAACUCCAAGCUUUUGUUAUGAGGAGUACAUUUCCAUAUCUCUGAUUAAUGUUGUUCUGGCAUAAGAAAAGAAAAUACAACACACUUGUCAAGCGUGUGUCGGUAGCAUCCAGCCACAGUGUGUGUUAGACAGAUUGUUCCAAACCACGGCUCUAAAUAUGCGGCUCAAUCCUCUGUUGUUGUUAGCAUCCAAGGCUAACACGCGGCAUCACAGCAGCCAAUGACAGACGUAGAGGAGGGGCAUACCAACAGAGAGCAUUUCCUGUGUCCUUCAUUUUCACAGAAUACAUUUGCAUUUUUGCGAGAAAUGCAUCCUUAAAAGAUGCAUGAAGAAAGAAAAGAAGAAAACAGUCAGCAUGAAGCG